UACGAAGGGGGCGAGCGUUGUUCGGAAUUACUGGGCGUAAAGGGCGCGCAGGCGGCCCUUUAAGUCAGGCGUGAAAGCCCCGGGCUCAACCUGGGAGGUGCGCUUGAUACUCGAGGGCUUGAGUGCGGGAGAGGAGAGUGGAAUUCCCAGUGUAGAGGUGAAAUUCGUAGAUAUUGGGAAGAACACCCGUGGCGAAGGCGGCACUCUGGGACGGUACUGACGCUGAGACGCGAAAGCGUGGGGAGCAAACAGG
rnacentral:rRNA from 1 species